rnacentral:misc_RNA from 1 species
AGCAUGUAGAGGAUAGGACAGAAGGUUUGAGAGCGCCUUGUCAGCAUCAGUUACCAAGUCAAUUGCAUCUUUGAGCAGCUGAACUGAUUCCUCAAUAAAUGGUCCCUCUGAUUCUGUCAGGAUACCUGUACUCUUCCAGCGCUCACCAAUAAGCUUGGUCAGUUCCUCAGAUGGAAGGGCUCUCAAAUGCUGACCAUUCAUCCA